CAGUCGCCGCGGUAAAACGGAGGGUGCAAGCGUUAAUCGGAAUUACUGGGCGUAAAGCGUGCGUAGGCGGUUCGUUAAGUCUGUUGUGAAAGCCCCGGGCUCAACCUGGGAAUGGCAAUGGAUACUGGCGAGCUAGAGUGUGUCAGAGGAUGGUGGAAUUCCCGGUGUAGCGGUGAAAUGCGUAGAGAUCGGGAGGAACAUCAGUGGCGAAGGCGGCCAUCUGGGACAACACUGACGCUGAGGCACGAAAGCGUGGGGAGCAAACAGGAUUAGAUACCCGCGUAGUCCCUGUCUCUUAUAC
rnacentral:rRNA from 1 species